UACGGGGGGGGCAAGCGUUGUUCGGAAUUACUGGGCGUAAAGGGCUCGUAGGUGGCCAACUAAGUCAGACGUGAAAUCCCUCGGCUUAACCGGGGAACUGCGUCUGAUACUGGAUGGCUUGAGUUUGGGAGAGGGAUGCGGAAUUCCAGGUGUAGCGGUGAAAUGCGUAGAUAUCUGGAGGAACACCGGUGGCGAAGGCGGUAGUCUGGGCCAUAACUGACGCUGAGGAGCGAAAGCCAGGGGAGCAAACGGG
rnacentral:rRNA from 1 species